rnacentral:tRNA from 3 species
GGGCGGGUAGCUCAGCUGGAUAGAGUAUUGGCCUCCGAAGCCAAGGGUCGUGGGUCCGAAUCCCAUCCCGCCCACCA